rnacentral:rRNA from 1 species
UUGACCUCAAAUCAGGUGGGACUACCCGCUGAACUUAAGCAUAUCAAUAAGCGGAGGAAAAGAAACUAACAAGGAUUCCCUUAGUAACUGCGAGUGAAGUGGGAAGAGCUCAAAUUUGAAAUCUGGCAGUCUCUGGCUGUCCGAGUUGUAAUCUAGAGAAGUGUUGCCCGCGCUGGACCGUGUACAAGUCUCCUGGGAUGGAGCGUCAUAGAGGGUGAGAAUCCCGUCUCUGACAUGGACUACCAGGGCUUUUGUGGUGCGCUCUCAAAGAGUCGAGUUGUUUGGGAAUGCAGCUCAAAAUGGGUGGUAAAUUCCAUCUAAAGCUAAAUAUUGGCGAGAGACCGAUAGUGAACAAGUACCGUGAGGAAAGAUGAAAAGAACUUUGGAAAGAGAGUUAAACAGUACGUGAAAUUGCUGAAAGGGAAACGCUUGAAGUCAGUCGCGUUGGCCAGGGAUCAGCCUUGCUUCUUAGUGUGGUGUACUUCCUGGUUGACGGGUCAGCAUCGGUUUCGACUGCUGGAGAAAGGCUUGGGGAAUGUGGCAGCUCUGGCUGUGUUAUAGCCUCCUGUCAGAUACAGUGGUUGGGACCGAGGAACGCAGCAU